AACUGCGAAUGGCUCAUUAAAUCAGUUAUCGUUUAUUUGAUAGUACCUUACUACAUGGAUACCUGUGGUAAUUCUAGAGCUAAUACAUGCUAAAAACCCCGACUCCGGAAGGGGUGUAUUUAUUAGAUAAAAAACCAAUGCCCUUCGGGGCUCCUUGGUGAAUCAUAAUAACUUAGCGAAUCGCAUGGCCUUGCGCCGGCGAUGGUUCAUUCAAAUUUCUGCCCUAUCAACUUUCGAUGGUAGGAUAGUGGCCUACCAUGGUGGCAACGGGUAACGGGGAAUUAGGGUUCGAUUCCGGAGAGGGAGCCUGAGAAACGGCUACCACAUCCAAGGAAGGCAGCAGGCGCGCAAAUUACCCAAUCCCGACACGGGGAGGUAGUGACAAUAAAUACUGAUACGGGGCUCUUUUGGGUCUCGUAAUUGGAAUGAGUACAAUCUAAAUCCCUUAACGAGGAACAAUUGGAGGGCAAGUCUGGUGCCAGCAGCCGCGGUAAUUCCAGCUCCAAUAGCGUAUAUUAAAGUUGUUGCAGUUAAAAAGCUCGUAGUUGAACCUUGGGUCUGGCUGGCCGGUCCGCCUCACCGCGAGUACUGGUCCGGCUGGACCUUUCCUUCUGGGGAACCUCAUGGCCUUCACUGGCUGUGGGGGGAACCAGGACUUUUACUGUGAAAAAAUUAGAGUGUUCAAAGCAGGCCUUUGCUCGAAUACAUUAGCAUGGAAUAAUAGAAUAGGACGUGCGGUUCUAUUUUGUUGGUUUCUAGGACCGCCGUAAUGAUUAAUAGGGAUAGUCGGGGGCGUCAGUAUUCAGCUGUCAGAGGUGAAAUUCUUGGAUUUGCUGAAGACUAACUACUGCGAAAGCAUUCGCCAAGGAUGUUUUCAUUAAUCAGGGAACGAAAGUUAGGGGAUCGAAGACGAUCAGAUACCGUCGUAGUCUUAACCAUAAACUAUGCCGACUAGGGAUCGGGCGGUGUUUCUAUAAUGACCCGCUCGGCACCUUACGAGAAAUCAAAGUUU
rnacentral:rRNA from 1 species